UUGUGAUUCAUUUUAUUAUGUAAAACAAAUGAACUUAUUUCCUUGCAAUUAAUGAAUUGAUCUUUAAUUUUUAUAUGCCAUACUGUAUGGUGGACUAGUUGGACUUCUGUUUGAUUUGCUAUGUUUGAAACCGAAUUUAAUCUUGUACAUUGGUGACUUAAAUGUUUAUAACUUCUGAAAUGUGGUAUCUUCCUGCAGUUAUGUUGUGAUAUGUCUG
rnacentral:misc_RNA from 1 species